rnacentral:sRNA from 1 species
AACCGUGGGUUCAUCUCAUGGCUGACUCGAACUGGAACCUUCUGACCUUCACAGGGGGACUAUGUUGGAGUUCAGAGUAAAGGAAUAGGUUGGAGAAAUCGGGUGGCAGGAUGAUUAGGUGACAGUUAUACACUUCAGACCACAGUGAGUCUCUAACUGCAAGCUGUUGAAAUGGUCAACAUAUUUACUUUUCUUUUUUAUUUACAGGGAAGGAGAUUGGUGGGAAGCCCGCUCCUUGACAACUGGAGAGACAGGUUACAUUCCCAGCAAUUAUGUGGCUCCAGUUGACUCUAUCCAGGCAGAAGAGUGGUACUUUGGAAAACUUGGCCGAAAAGAUGCUGAGCGACAGCUAUUGUCCUUUGGAAACCCAAGAGGUACCUUUCUUAUCCGCGAGAGUGAAACCACCAAAGGUGCCUAUUCACUUUCUAUCCGUGAUUGGGAUGAUAUGAAAGGAGACCAUGUCAAACAUUAUAAAAUUCGCAAACUUGACAAUGGUGGAUACUACAUUACCACCCGGGCCCAGUUUGAAACACUUCAGCAGCUUGUACAACAUUACUCAGAGAGAGCUGCAGGUCUCUGCUGCCGCCUAGUAGUUCCCUGUCACAAAGGGAUGCCAAGGCUUACCGAUCUGUCUGUCAAAAC